UUACUGACUCAACUGCCACUAGGAUCAAACAUGUGAUAUCAUCUCCUUGGGAAGAUCAGGGGAGGAACAGAGAUAAUCCUGAUGUGUGUGGGAACAGCUUUUGUUGAAUCCUCUAAUGAACCAUGUUACCAGCAUAUACUUUCCUUCCAUUUAUGACAUGCUGCCUAAUGAAUGAAUUUUUAUUAACUAAAUAUUAAUUAAUCAAUCAAUUACAAUUAUUAAUAAUAGGGGUUGCUACAGAUUGAAUAUUUCUGUUUCCUUCAAGUUCAGAUGUUGAAACCUAACCCCCAGUGCAAUGGCAUUAGGAGUGGGGCCUCAAGGAUGUGUUCGGUUACGAGGGUAGAACCCUCGAGAAUGGGAUUAGUGACAUCAUAAAAAAGGCUCCAGAGAGCUCUAUUGCCCCUUCUGCGAUCUGUGGACACAGUAAGAAGAUGGCCACCUUUGAACCAAGAAGUGGACUUUCACCAGACAUUGAAUCUGUUGGCGCUUUGAUCUUGAACUUCUCAGCCUCUGGAACUGUAAUACUGUAUAGAGAAAAGAAAAGUCAUAAAAGAUGAAAUAUGAAAGGAAGGGUGAAGAAAACAACUUGCAAAACAGAUGAGAGAAAAGGCAUUCUAUUUUUGGUAGCGAGCAUCACUCCCUUCCCCCUGCCAGAAGACAAUGACAAGAAAAUGAUUAAUGAGUGUGUUCCACAUUACUGUCAGCAGGAAUCCAGUCUGGGCCUGGAAGAAGCCUGAAUAAUUGA